ACCCACCAGCUAGCCCUCCCCCAUUACCCAACACUUAUUUAUUAAUAACCCCUCACGCACUAAAACAAAAAACCAAACCAUUUUUCCUCCUAAGUAUAGGCGACAGAAAAGGAAACCAGGAGCAAUAGAAAAAGUACCGCAAGGGAACGCUGAAAGAGAAAUGAAACAAUCCAGUAAAGCCUAAAAAAGCAGAGAUCAUACCUCGU
rnacentral:rRNA from 1 species